GUUACAUAUGAUUAUAUUAGAUAUUCUUUGACACAACAUAUUAUUUAGCCAAUUUACAUCCUAUUAUGUUUUUACUAAAAUUAUCAAUAUUUAUUAUAUAGAAAUAUCGCGAACAAUAUGUAAUUAAUUAGUUCAUCUUUAUCUGAUAUAAAUUAAAAUGUUUUGUUAUCUUGCUUGAAUUCAUAUUCAAAAAUGUUAAAAGAAGAAAUUUAUUUUUUUCGUUUUUAAUA